GGCGCGGCCUGCGUUCCUCCUCCGCUGCGGGGGGCGCGCUCCGUGUCGCCACCACUCGCAACGCUGGGGGUUGCCGGCAGUCAGGCCAGCUCCAUGAGGACCAAGCACGUGAACGCGCUGAUCGCCCUGGCCGCCGUCAUGCUCUUCAGCUUCUCCUGCUUUUGCAUCUCCAGGAUGACUCAAAUCAGUAAUCAAUUAAUUAAUUGUAGAAACCAUAUUUUGGAGUUUAAGGAAAAAAUGCUACAUUUAAAAAACAAAACUGAAAGAAACCGCCAAGAACUGACCAAAGCCUUGAGUAAAAUGAAGUAUGAAAUGACACAGAGAAAAAAUAUGUCCAUAAACUUAGUUGAGAAGAAAAUGAAUACAUUGGGUAAGAAUGAAACAACAUCUAAUACAUUUGAAAUCCUAAAGUUCUUUUUUCCUCAUCUAAGGAAAGUAGACAGAAUUUAUCCUGAUGUAAUCAUUGGCAAAGAGAAAACAGGUGUCUCUUUCGCACUGGGCAUUUCCACUGUUAACAGAGGAAAUCAAAGUUACCUGAAGCAAACACUGAAUUCUCUCGUCUCCAGGAUGACUCCUUCAGAAGAGAAGGACUCUGUGGUGAUUGUCUCUGUCUCAGAUAGAAAUGAAGAUUAUUUAAAAUCUGUUGUUGCCAUGAUUACAAAAAGAUUCAAAAGGCAACUAAGGUCUGGAUCCUUAGAAAUCAUUUCAAUACCUGCCUUUUUUUAUCCAAACAUAUCACAUGUCAAGGAGUCAACUGACGACUCAGGAAAGUCAGAGAGUAGGUGCAUCAAACAAGUACUGGAUUUUUGUUUUUUGAUGCUGUAUGCCCAACCCAAGGCCAUGUAUUAUUUACAGCUAGAAGAUGAUAUCAUAGCUAAAAAGACGUACUUUACAAAAAUCACAGAUUUUGUGCGUAAUAUCACUUCAAAAAAUUGGUUUUAUAUUGAGUUUUCAAUUCUUGGAUUCAUAGGAAAGCUGUUUAAAUCUGAGGACUUAUCUGACUUUGUACGUUUUUUUUUAAUGUUCUACAAAGAUAAACCCAUAGACUUGCUCUUGAGGGACAUUUUUCAGGUGAAGAUGUGUAACCCAGGAGAAAAUCCCGAGAAAUGCACAGAACGAAAUAAGCAAAUUCGUAUUCGAUAUAAACCUUCUCUUUUCCAGCAUGUGGGUAUACAGUCAUCAUUCCCUGGAAUAGAACAAUACUCCAAAGAUAUUUAUUAUUAGGAGUUUCAUAAUUCAAAUACCUUCUUUAAAAAUGAUCAGUAUCAUUCUUUGGAAAAAACGUCAUAAUAAGGAUUAGUCUUAGUUCUCAACUUUCUUCAUAGUGGAUAAAAGGACUAUAUCAUAUAAAAAAAUUUAAGCCUUUGAUAAUAUAGUGAAAAUAAGAUAAGCAUAACAAGAAAAAACUCUGUAAUACCUUGGAACCUCAUCUUUCAGAAAUGAUAAUAAUGAAAAUGCAAAAUUGUAUAGAAGAGGAGAAAACAAUAAACAAACUACUAGGCUUGAAAGUAUUAACUACCUCUUAUGUCAAGAAAAAUUAGAAUAUUUGUUUAUGAUGUUUGUACCAUUACUAUUACAAUUUAGUUUAAAAAUAGUAAAGGCAGGUAAGUUUUUGAAAUUAAGAAAUGCAUUUUGUUGACUUAGAUAGUGAUGCUAUCACAUAAUCUCAAUAAAUAGCUACAAGUUUAGAAGCUUGCCAUUGUCACAGACAGGUUCUGUGUAAAUUGGCAAAUGUUCUUACCCAUUUUGUAGGACAUCUAAAGUAAUAGAAAGCACAAUAUAAGCAAGCCUCGGUCUGGCAGUGCCACAGUAGCUUCUUCUCGUUUAAAUAAAUUCAUUUAAAACUAUAAACUUACGCCUAAGUGCCAUUUGAGUUGAUUACCAACCUCUUGAUAUUUAUGUAUUCUGGUAGUCAUUCAGUUCUAAAGAUUUAUAAUUUCUCUUUUUAGCUCCUGGGUAUUUGGGAGUGUUUUCCUUUUUUUCAAAUAUAUUGGUUUUUGCCACCUUUUACUGUUGAUUUCUUAUUUAAGUACGUUGAUGUUAAUGAAUUUUAUCUGUGUGAAUUUGAGAAUUGUUAUGAAUUCUAGUGUUUCAUGUGAAUUUGAAAAGAAUCUAUAGUGUCUGUGCACUCCCUUUAAAAUAUGUUGCUUUCAUUUGUUUUUUGUAAGUGUUAGUUUUGUGCUUUAAAAAUGUCUUCUUAAAAUAAAUUCUAUUUAUUGGGUGCAGUAUUCUCUUACAUCAGGCUUUUUAAUUUACUUAUUCAAGUUUUUAAAAUUCUUACAGAUUUGUCUGCUUGAAUGAUCUAUCAGUCUCUUAGAGAAACUGAUUAAACUCCCCUAGAGAAACUAUUGAACUCCCCUAUCCUUCUUAUUAUUCUGUUGAGUUUUACUUUAUUUAUUUUGGGAAAUAAUAAGAGAUGUUUCUUCUUCCUUCUG